GCUAACACGUGCGAUCACUCUUUUACCCCCAUUUUUGGUUUGUUAGCUAACUUUUUGAGCAUCUACCGCUGACAUACGAUUUAGGCUUCUAUGGGACUUCUGAAUUCUUUGCAUCAAUUAUAGCGCCCUCGAUGGAAGCACUUGGAAAUGUUUUGUACAACCUACAGGCCACCAACGGGUAUAACUUAACAAUCCCCACUGAACACCAAACCUAACAGACAUGAAUACACGAUGCGGGAGGAACUUAUGGGACAACCUAAUAAUAACCUAACUAGAAAACAAGAUAGAUGCGCCCUUUUCGAGAGACAAAGUCCCGCUAACUUCGUGCAAGAACUUAUUUGAUGGAUGCUAGCCUCAAGAAGUACAGUUCUUUGGUUAAGAAUUAAUAUAAAAUAUUUUCACGCGUACUUUGAUUAUUUAGAAAUUGUAUAUAAAAUCUGAGAACGUACGUACCUCCUCGAUAA